rnacentral:rRNA from 1 species
AUGGUACUUGCAUGUAACCAAACAACCCAGUACAAAAAAGAUGCUGCAUACAGCGGGCUUGGUUGCGAUUUUGUGGGCAACCAAACACGUCCCAAGUUCAUCCCCUGCUCUCUCCUCGCGUUGGUCGUCCUCUUCUUCGCCGCUGAGCGGCAGCUCCGGCCAGACAUCUACGCUGCCACCUGCACCAACUUGGCGAGCAUCGUGCGCGGUGCCAUGGUCACAGCCGUCAGCGUCGAGCGGCGGAUGGGCGCGUCUGUGCUGAGGCUCCAGUUCCACGAUUGCUUCGUGCAGGUACGCACCGACAAACUUUUCUGCUCGUCCCGGUUGGCUGGCUGGCUGGCUCAGAUCGAUACAUUAUGUAACGUGUCAGGCAGUUGCGGAGCUAGGCAUGAAUGUCAGGGGGGAGUCAAAACAUGA